ensembl:lncRNA
AAGAAAUUGAGGUGUUUAAAUAUGUAGAACAAUUUACUUGGAAGCUAGGCACUUCUGAAAGUUCUUUUGAAAAUCCUUAUAUCUGCCUUUAUGCUUGAGAGAACACAAACAAGGUAAGAAUCAUGCAGGUGACCUUGGCAUUUACUUUCUGAGGAUAAGCUUUCCAGGAGCCCGGUAGAUGAUGUACGAGUAGGAAUCUGCCUUUCUUCAAACUGUCAUAUUCUUCAAUUAAUUUUAAAGUCUCUUGCAUAUGUUUAUGCAUGACAGUCACAAUUUUGGAUAUGACACUUCUGGAAAAUAAGAUUCAAGGCUUAAGGUUCACUUGCAGCAAAAGUCCUGUGCUUUGCAAGACUAACCACCCCAACCAAACUGAUGCUGAAACACUGGUCUGCUCCUUACAAAUUUAAGUCAUUCUCAAGCUGAAGAGCAUGAACCAUAUAAGCUUUAUUUGAUUUAUAACACAAACACUACAUUGACUUAUUUGAGGAAUCAAAAUAUAAAACUCUGCAAAAACAUACACUUUGAUUUAUGUGUGGAAGAGGCAAUGAGAAUCUCAGUCUUUGGAGAAUGGCCACAGAGAAUGACAAAUAAUACUGACCAUAAUGAUUGCAGGCCUGGAUUUAUUACUUUUGCUUAUUAUAAUGUACCAUGUAAUUUACUUGUACAGUAUAACUGUUUGGUUGAAAUAAGUAUAUUGUAUUCAGUGCAUGGCAGUCAUAUUAUAAUGGAAUAUUUUGGAUUCUCAAUGAUCCAGUUAUUCAUACAUCCAAUUCUGUGACAUUAGAGUAGAUUUAAUGGUUAGAGGAAAUGCUCUUUUCUAUUUCUACUGUAAGUUGUAUGCAUAAAUUUAUGAGUUCAUUUUCUAGCAAUAUUCUGAUCUCAAAACUCCUUAUACUAUUUUUAUUGCUUUUAAAAUAUUUUCUCUAUAUCUGAUCACCAACAUAUUUUACACAUUUGAAGAAGUGUUGUUUCAGCACAACAGACAACUCAAGAUCCACAUGUAUACCAAACCCUUAUUCUGCUGUUGUAUUUUAAGUGUUGGGACUUAGAGAUGUUGAGCAAUGAGAAAACAGUCUCUUCACCUUCAAAAAGUACAACUCAACUCAUAUCCCAGUCCUUGAUAGGUGUGCUGUACCUCUGCAUUAGCUGAUAUAGAGGCAAAUUUAUCAUGUAAAGAAUUCCAACCUCUUAAUUUAAUUUAGAUAUGUAUUGGUGAAAUGAAGAACCUAAUUCUAUCUGAAUUUGAACAAGAAGAUGCCAGUGAAUUAAAUUACAUUAUGCUGCUUGCUAUAAACUGGAAAAUCUUAUCUAAUCUUAUAUAAAUGUCUUUUUUUCCCCAGGAAUCCUUCAAACUGCAGAAGGGGUACUUCAUUUCCACCUUCACUUUUUACUCUUCAUAUAAAACCUUAAUUUUGGGGGCUGUUCUAGAGAAAAAUGUCUGUGAGAAUCAGAUGUUUUAGCAUAAAUUUGUCAUGGGCCAUUUUCUUUGUGUAUUAUUAACAUGAACAUGAUUUAAAUAAAGCCUGUCAGACCUGUAGAGUCUAAGUGAGGAUAACAAAGGAGACAACAAAACCUCAAAAGGUAAAAGAACUUUUCAGAAUAUGUUCUAUGACAGAAGAAGUUUUCUUAAUCCUUCAUUGACAAAUCUCAUUUGUUUUAUACACUUCUGAAUCUUAAAUAUGCCCUAGAAUAAAUAUAACAAGUUUAACAAUAUCUGAACGUAAAGAAUUCAAUUUGUUCAUUGCUCUUUUGAGUACUUCUUUAUUUUCUCCUGCUAUUUUGAGUACUAUGAAGAUCUUCAUUUGUGUCACAGUGAAACUGCAUAUAUUGGUGGUAGUGUCAGUGUUCCUACUACUAUUAAUAUUAUUCUUAUUACUAUUGUUAUUGCUAUUUAUAAAUCUACCCCCAACAAUCAUCUUUCUGUUAUCUUAAAGCUUAAUGAACCGCACAUCAAUUCAUCAAAAAUUUUCAGUUGUGUUUUUGUUUAAUUCUGCAGAAGUAAAAAGUCAGGGAGAGAUAUCUUUGCUAAGAGUGUCGGUGGUCAAGAAUCAAGGAAAGAUGCAAGUUUCAUUUUUCCAUCCAGCAGAAAUGAAUUAAGCUCCUAUUGCUUCUCUUCAAAGUAGUUACCAGUUCACAUAUCUAUUCUGACAUGGCAGCAACAGGUCUUGUACCCAUAAUAAAAAUAUAGCCUCUGCCUGAUAGAGACUUGUUUUCAGAACACUGUUUGGUUGAAGUUCUAUCACAAUUUCAUGUCAUUUGCUUCACCUUGUUCUGCUGCAGUUAUAUAAAAUAUUUGCAUAAAAAUACUGUAAUGUUAUGCUUGGGACAUAGUAGGUAACAAAUGCAUGCUCUGAUCCCUUUUGGUAUUUAUGUAAAUGGAGUAAAACAAGAAUAAAAGGUAAUCAUAAGAUUUAACCAUAAAAUUCUGCCAUUUCAAGUAGGAGGAGCUCUGCCAUAAAAAACUGGGAAUUGAAUUCAAGGCUCUCACAGCAUAAGAAAAUGGUUAGUUGUUGGAUUCUUAAGGGGUUCAGUAAUGAUCCAAGCUGUCAGAGAUAUUGUGUAUUUAAAACUGAAUGGUUCCAUUAACUUUGAUUGAACUUUUUCUCUACUGUGUUAUUCUUUUCUUGUCUGUAAAAGAAGCCAUCAAUGUCACUGGGAAGCUUUCUGAGCUCUCAUAACUCAGACCUCGCUGACAAUUGACUCUUGGAAGCAAAUAUGUCUGCAUGAAUUAAAUAUGUUUUGCUGUCAGUGGGCAUUAGAUAUGUUACCUGAUGUUUGAAACUAUGGAGGCACAAAUAGACAUCACAAGUCUGCAAACUGAAAAUUCAUCUGUAAAGUAGCUGUAUUUUCUGAUUACCUUAAUUCCUCUCAGCAGGUUUACAGGUGACAACAAGCUGAGUGGUGCACUUGAUACAACAGAAGGAAGAGACGCCAUCCAAAGGAAUUCGGAUAGGCUUGAAAAGUGGGCCCAUGUGAACCUACUGAGGUUCAGCAAGAACAAGUGCUGCACUUGGGCUGGGGCAAUGCCAGAAGAUCUCUUUGCAAGCAGCCCUGUGAAGAAGGACGCAUAGGUCAUGCUGGAGAAAAAGCUGGACAUGAACCAGCAGUGUGCUCUUACAGCCCAAAAGGCCAACAGUAUCCUGGACUGCAUCAAAAGUUGGGGGGGGAGUGCAGCAAGGCAGGGAGGGGAUUGUCCCCCUCUACUCUGCCCUUGUGAUGCCCCAUCUGGAGUACUGCAUUUAGGCCUGGGGCCUCCAGCACAAGAAGGACAUGGAGUGGGUCCAGAGGAGGGCCACAAAGAUAGUUAGAGCAUUGGAGCAUCUCUCCUACAAAUAAAGAUUGAGAGAGUUGGGCUUGCUCAGUCUAGAGAAGUGGAAGGUACAGAAAGACCUCGUUGUACUUAAAAAGGAGUUUAUAAACUGAAGUUUACAUGAUUUGAGUGAUAGGACAGGGCAAAUAGUUUUAAACUAUAAGAGUGAAGAUCUAUUUUCGAUAUCAGGAGGCAGUUUUUUACUCAGUGUGGUGAGGCCAUAGCACAAGUUACCCAGAGAACUGUGGGUGCUUCACACCUGGAGAUGCUCAACACCAGGUUAGAUGAGCCCUGGAUACCCUGACCUAGUGGGUGACAUAGCCCAUGGCAGGGGGCAGGAACUAGAUGACUUUUAAAAGUUCCUGCCAACCUACAAUUCUAUGAUUCUAUGACAUCACUUUUGGCCAUAUUGCCCCCUACAUGCUGGAAUUUCCCUUCUGUCUUUAGGGUCUCCAGCAAGACUGGCUUUAACGACAAAAAGGGUUAGCUUGAAGACAGCUGAUUCUUUCAGAAUGAGACAUACUGCCCCACAUCCUUCACUGUUGCUAAUUUCAUUUGCACAGUAAUUGCAAAGGCUGACAGUGUACCAAUUGAUAGCAAAACAUCCUAGAUAAAUAGUAGUGUCAGUAAGCUUCUACUGAUAAUUUAAGUUUGGGGUGUUUUUGUACUGUCCUCUAAAUGAGUUAGUGUGGCUUCCUUCACUGCUUCUGAUGAGCUAUCUGUAGGUCUCAGAAAUGUUAGAAAAAUUAGCAAAAAGCUAUGAAUAAGCUGUGAAAACUACAGCUAAGGGCUGGCUAGGUACCAGCUAGUGGACAGAACCUGAGCUUCAUGGAGGACUGAGAGUCAAUAUUUUACAAAUUACAAUAUCUUAACAGUGACAAUUUUUAAUAAAAGUGGGCAAUAUCACCUAUAUUUGAAACAUUCCCCAGCUGAAUCAACAAAGACCACUAAUAGAAAUAAGGAGGAAAAUAGCAUUACUCCUUUACUCAUCAAUGUCUUCUUCAUUCCCUAGCCCAUGUGAUCUUUUAUAUAUUAAAUUACUGCCUUGAAAGAAGAGGGAGUAAGUCAGCAUUAAUAAUGAUUAGACAUCACUGUGUAAAGGUUAGAAAAUCAGCCAGGCCAGGAGUACAAAUAAUUUUGUCUUUUUUUCCUGGAAGGGACCACUUACUCCAUCAGAAUAUCAUCCAAUUAAUACAAGGAUAAGGCAGAUUCAUGCCAGUCAGGCUGGAAUAGUAACUAUGGAGGACAAAACACCUUGAGGUGUACUGGAUUUUUUUUUUUUUUUUUAACUUAGUGAAUAAACAAAGGAAAAGUUUUAGAGAUUUCUGUUUUAAUAAAUUGUAUGUCCAUCAGCCUAUCAUCAGUCCUAUCAGAAAAUUGGUAUGGUGUUAGCAAAAAAAAGUAGAAGUAUUUGAAUAGGGAGAGGAGAGGGCAAUACACAAGUUUUUAUUACAGUUAAUUUAACUCCAAUUAUUUUGGUGAACAGAGUUUGCUGUGUUCCAGCUAAAAGUGGGAUUCUCUCUGGUGCAAAGCAACUAAGUCCAUCCUGAGGUGUCAUCCAUGGAACAAACUACCAUGGAAUGCUGAAUCAAAUUUCAUUGCAAAGGCCAAGAAGAAUUUGAAAGGAAAGAAAACUUAUUCCUGUUUUUUAAUGAGCUACUUGCUAAUUUUUGCACUGUGCAGAGUCCAAACAUCUCCGUGAACACCAACCCCAGACAAAAAUGUGCUACAGGUGAGAAAUGAUCCACAGAUUGAGUGAAUUCACAGUUGGCCAAAACUGACAGGCUGUGUCUGCCAGCAAUGCUUUUAGGAAAGUUUUUGUAAAAAUCAUCAGAAAAAAAGGUCACUUUUACUCAGAAAAAUCAUCACAACUGCUGAAUUCAUGUCAAUUUGAGAUCCUCUGUGCUGAAGAGAACCACAUUAAUGAACAGGAGCACUUGCAAAGUAAGAUGCAGAUAUUAGUUGGGAUAAAAUUAAUGAGGUUAAUGCAAAAGUAUUUUUUCCUGGAAACAACUGAAGUCAAAGAAAUGGUGUCAAAGGAUGUUUAAGACAACGAGAUCAAGUCCAAUGCCCUUGCAAAGCAGGCCCCCUACAGCAGGCUGCACAGGUAGAUGUCCAGGCAGGUCCUGAAUAUCUCCAGAUAAGGAGAAUCCACAACCUCCCUUGGCAGCCUGUUCCAGUGCUGUCACCCUCACCAUGAAGAAGUUACUCCAAAUAUUAGUGCAGAACUUCCUACAGUUUGGGGUUGUUUCCCCUUGUCUUGUCCCCGCAGACCACUGAAAAGAUGUUGGUCAUGUCCCUUUCUCUCCCAAGAUGAUGCCUUCUAGGAUAGAGCAUCUAGUUUGCUGGUGUCACAAGGAACUACGUGAAAAGGAACUCUUCUUAAUCAGUUUCUGAUGUUCUGCCUUCAAUUGAGGAAUAUAUUUCUGAGAUCGUUAUUCCUACUAACAGGUUUUAUAUGUCUCAUUUCAUUUGACAUUUAGAAACUUUCUUCUGUUCUCCAGUUUUAAAGCAAGUCCCAAGUGAGUUUGCAUCCAUUUCAAUGUUAUCCAUUGAUUUAAAUAAGUAGCAUUUUGCUUUAUUUUAUAACCUGGUAUUUAUUCAUAUCGAACUGAUAAUAUCUAUGCCAUUUGACUGCCGGUGCAUUUACAUCUCUUCCGGGCCAGAAUUCAGGAUAGAAAAGAUAGGUAUAUAUACUUAAACUGAGCUCACGUUUAUUAUAUCAUAUUUAUUUACCAAAUAAAGAUCUUGCCUUUCUAAUAGCAAAUGUUAUCAGAAUUACUACUGACUUUAGUGUCUACCAUAUUUGUUGAAUUAAGGUCAUUUUUGUGUAUUAUUUCAGUGGCAGAGGGGAAAUAGAUUUGCAAACAAUCUGGUCUUCUUAACAACAAACAAAAAUGCUACAUACAAAUUAAAAUACAUUUUACGAGUUUAAUGCUUCAAUUACUUCAGGUGCUUUUUUCUAUAUGUGAAUACAACUCUUAAUCAGCCACUCAUUCAUCUUAACUAUCUCUGUAUGUCAUCUCCAUGAAUCUUAAACAG